CACGUAGGGUGCGAGCGUUGUCCGGAAUUAUUGGGCGUAAAGAGCUCGUAGGCGGUUUGUCGCGUCUGCUGUGAAAACUCGGGGCUUAACCCCGGGCCUGCAGUGGGUACGGGCAGACUAGAGUGCGGUAGGGGAGACUGGAAUUCCUGGUGUAGCGGUGAAAUGCGCAGAUAUCAGGAGGAACACCGGUGGCGAAGGCGGCUCACUGGUCCGGUACUGACGCUGAUGUGCGAAAGCGUGGGGAGCAAACAGG
rnacentral:rRNA from 1 species